UGUUGCAUUACAUAUGUUACAUAAAUACCUUUUCAGUAAUUACUUAGUGUGUUACAGUAGCUUUCUUAAGUAGUUAUUUCACAUCCUGAAAAUGAUAUCGCAUGACUGUAAUCUUUACAGGCGACAGCGGCUAUGCAUUAGAGCCAUUUUUGAUGACUCCAGUCCGCAACCCCACAACAGAACCGGAGGAGCGCUACAAUAGGGCCCAUACACGGACACGUGUCGUUGUGGAGCAAACCUUUGGAAUACUAAAGAGCCGGUUCAGGUGCCUUCACAAAUCUGGGGGUGCCUUGCAGUAUGCUCCCAUGAAGUGCCUCAACAUCAUCACCUCAUGUUUACUGCUGCACAACCGCUGUGUCCAGCGGGGUAUUCCACUUCCCCAGCGGGUACAAAUUUAUAUUUCGCUUGAAGAGGAUGAGGAAGAGCAGGAUGCUCCUACUGCUGUUCUUGGAGCAGCUGCUGGCCGAGGAGCUGGAAGAGCAGUACGUGAAGCAAUAAUUGCUAAUUUUUUUGGGUGAAAUGGUGAGGUGUGUAUUUUAUCGGUCACUCUUGAGUAAGAGCUCAGUAAGUUUGUCACACAUGAGUCCCCUUUUCUGGAAUCCAUACUGUUUACUUGUUAUUAAAUUAUGCUCUUCUAGAAAUCUCGUCUAUUGUUUCUUUAUCACUUUUUCACAUAUUUUACAUAGUACACUGGUCAAUUACACGGGUCUGUAGUUCAGGGGUUCUUCCUUUCUUCCACUUUUGUAUAUAGGGACCACUUCGGCCCUCCGCCACUCCUUAGGCACUGUACCAGUAUUUAUCGGUGUGUUGGUGUGUGUGUGUGUGUGAGAGAGAGAGAGAGAGAGAGAGAGAGAGAGAGAGAGAGAGAGAGAGAGAGAGAGAGAGAGAGAGAGAGAGAGAUGAAUGUAUUAAAAUAUUUGCAAGUAUUUUCUCUUUUGAGACCUUACUCAAAGUAAGUUAAACAUGUGACAAUGUUCUGUAUUUUAGACUAAU